rnacentral:rRNA from 1 species
UACGUAGGGGGCGAGCGUUGUCCGGAAUCAUUGGGCGUAAAGAGCGUGUAGGCGGUCCGGUAAGUCCGCUGUGAAAGUCGGGGGCUCAACCCUCGAAUGCCGGUGGAUACUGGCGGGCUAGAGUGCGGAAGAGGCGAGUGGAAUUCCUGGUGUAGCGGUGAAAUGCGUAGAUAUCAGGAGGAACACCUGCGGUGUAGACGGCUUACUGGACCAUAACCGACGCUGAGGCACGAAAGCGUGGGUAGCAAACAGG